rnacentral:misc_RNA from 1 species
UUUCCGUAGGUGAACCUGCGGAAGGAUCAUUAACGAGUUAGGGUCUUCCAGGCACGACCUCCCAACCCUAUGUUUAUUGAACCUCUGUUGCUUCGGCGGACCCGCCUCACGGCCGCCGGAGGACCGCUGCAAGGCGUCCUCUGGCCAGCGUCCGCCGAUGGCCAACCACUUAAACUCUGAAUGAAUCGUGUCAUAUGUCUAAGUCUAUGAUUAAAUUAAAGCAAAACUUUCAACAACGGAUCUCUUGGUUCUG